CGGAGCGGGCAAUCGCGGCUCUCCCCGGGUAACCGGAGGAGGGGCGAGGAAAGUCCGGGCUCCGCAGAGCGAGGCGCUGGCUAACGGCCAGGAGCUUGAAAUGGGACCCACGUGAUCUCGUUUCCGGCUACGGAAAGUGCAACAGAGAAGAGACCGCCGCGUCCUUCGGGACGCGGUAAGGGUGAAACGGUGGGGUAAGAGCCCACCGCCUGGGUGGUGACAUCCAGGGCAAGGUAAACCCCGCCUGGAGCAAGACCAAAUAGGCGUGCGCUACGAGGACGGCUCGUCCCAGCACGCGGGUAGGAUCGCUCGAGCCCGUCGGUAACGGCGGGCCUAGAGGAAUGGUUGCCACCCUCUCCUUCGGGGGAGGGAACAGAACCCGGCUUACAGCUCCGCC
rnacentral:RNase_P_RNA from 1 species